GCAGAUAUCAGGAGGAACACCGAUGGCGAAGGCAGGUCUCUGGGCAUUAACUGACGCUGAGGAGCGAAAGCAUGGGGAGCGAACAGGAUUAGAUACCCUGGUAGUCCAUGCCGUAAACGUUGGGCACUAGGUGUGGGGGACAUUCCACGUUUUCCGCGCCGUAGCUAACGCAUUAAGUGCCCCGCCUGGGGAGUACGGCCGCAAGGCUAAAACUCAAAGGAAUUGACGGGGGCCCGCACAAGCGGCGGAGCAUGCGGAUUAAUUCGAUGCAACGCGAAGAACCUUACCAAGGCUUGACAUGGACUGGAAAUACCUGGAAACAGGUGCCCCGCUUGCGGUCGGUUCACAGGUGGUGCAUGGUUGUCGUCAGCUCGUGUCGUGAGAUGUUGGGUUAAGUCCCGCAACGAGCGCAACCCUCGUUCUAUGUUGCCAGCGCGUGAUGGCGGGGACUCAUAGGAGACUGCCGGGGUCAACUCGGAGGAAGGUGGGGACGACGUCAAAUCAUCAUGCCCCUUAUGUCUUGGGCUUCACGCAUGCUACAAUGGCCGGUACAAAGGGUUGCGAUACUGUGAGGUGGAGCUAAUCCCAAAAAGCCGGUCUCAGUUCGGAUUGGGGUCUGCAACUCGACCCCAUGAAGUCGGAGUCGCUAGUAAUCGCAGAUCAGCAACGCUGCGGUGAAUACGUUCCCGGGCCUUGUACACACCGCCCGUCAAGUCACGAAAGUUGGUAACACCCGAAGCCGGUGGCCUAACCCCUUGUGGGAGGGAGCUGUCGAAGGUGGGACUGGCGAUUGGACUAAG
rnacentral:rRNA from 1 species